ACGAAGGGUGCGAGCGUUAAUCGGAAUUACAGGGCGUAAAGAGCACGUAGGCGGUUUGAUAAGCGGAAUGUGAAAGCCCCGGGCUUAACCUGGGAACUGCAUUCCGAACUGUCAGGCUAGAGUAUGAUAGAGGUGAGCGGAAUUUCCUGUGUAGCGGUGAAAUGCGUAGAUAUAGGAAGGAACAUCAGUUGCGAAGGCGGCUCACUGGAUCAAUACUGACGCUGAGGUGCGAAAGCGUGGGUAGCGAACAGGA
rnacentral:rRNA from 1 species